UACGUAGGGUGCAAGCGUUAAUCGGAAUUACUGGGGCGUAAAGCGUGCGUAGGCGGUUUGUUAAGUCUGCUGUGAAAUCCCCCGGGGCUCAACCUGGGGAAUGGCAGUGGAUACUGGCAAGCUAGAGUGUGUCAGAGGAUGGUGGAAUUCCCGGUGUAGCAGUGAAAAUGCGUAGAUAUCGAGAGGAACACCCAGUGGCAAAGGCGAGUCCCUGGACA
rnacentral:rRNA from 1 species